rnacentral:rRNA from 1 species
CCUACGGGAGGCAGCAGUGAGGAAUAUUGCGCAAUGGGCGAAAGCCUGACGCAGCAAUGCCGCGUGAGUGAAGAAGGUAAUUUUUACUGUAAAGCUCUGUCGGAAGGGAAGAAAGAUUGGGAUUGGCUCCCAAUUUGACGGUACCUUCAAAGGAGGCACCGGCUAACUUCGUGCCAGCAGCCGCGGUAAUACGAGGGGUGCAAGCGUUGUCCGGAAUCAUUGGGCGUAAAGGGUGCGUAGACGGAAUAUUAAGUCUGAUGUGAAAGCCUACAGCUUAACUGUAGAGGGUCAUUGGAUACUGGUAUUCUUGAAUCACAGAGGGGGUAGUGGAAUUCCAGGUGUAGCGGUGAAAUGCGUAGAUAUCUGGAGGAACACCGGUGGCGAAGGCGACUGCCUGGCUGUGAAUUGACGUUGAGGCACGAAAGCGUGGGUAGCAAACAGGAUUGGAUACCCUGGUAGUCACGCCGUAAACUAUGGAUACUUGUUGUCGGGGGCUUGUCCUCCGGUGACGGAGCUAACGCGUUAAGUAUCCCGCCUGGGGAGUACGAUCGCAAGGUUGAAACUCAAAGGAAUUGACGGGGGCCCGCACAAGCGGUGGAGCAUGUGGUUUAAUUCGAUGCAACGCGAAGAACCUUACCUACCCUUGACAUCCAGAGAAUCUGUUAGAGAUAGUAGAGUGCCUUCGGGAGCUCUGAGACAGGUGCUGCAUGGCUGUCGUCAGCUCGUGUUGUGAAAUGUUGGGUUAAGUCCCGUAACGAGCGCAACCCUUAUCCUUAGUUGCCAGCGAGUCAAGUCGGGAACUCUAGGGAGACUGCCGGUGAUAAACCGGAGGAAGGUGGGGACGACGUCAAGUCAUCAUGGCCCUUAUGGGUAGGGCUACACACGUGCUACAAUGGUCGGUACAGAGGGCAGCGAACUUGCGAGAGUAAGCAAAUCCCAGAAAGCCGAUCCUAGUCCGGAUUGGAGUCUGCAACUCGACUCCAUGAAGUCGGAAUCGCUAGUAAUCGCAAAUCAGAAUGUUGCGGUGAAUACGUUCCCGGGCCUUGUACACACCGCCCGU